AACAAACGCUGGCGGCGUGCCUAAUACAUGCAAGUCGAACGGGGAAAGCUUUCGGGUGAGUACUAGUGGCGCACGGGUGAGUAACGCGUGGAUAAUCUGCCUUAGAGUGGGGGAUAACUAGUCGAAAGAUUAGCUAAUACCGCAUAAGACCACAAGAACUGCGGUUCAAGAGGUCAAAGGUUUUUCGCUCUAAGAUGAGUCCGCGUAAGAUUAGCUAGUUGGUGAGGUAACGGCUCACCAAGGCAACGAUCUUUAACUGGUCUGAGAGGAUGAUCAGUCACACUGGAACUGAGACACGGUCCAGACUCCUACGGGAGGCAGCAGCAGGGAAUAUUGCACAAUGGAGGAGACUCUGAUGCAGCAACGCCGCGUGAGUGAUGAAGGCCUUCGGGUCGUAAAGCUCUGUCGCAGGGGAAUAACACAAUGAAUGUACCCUGUAAGAAAGGAUCGGCUAACUUCGUGCCAGCAGCCGCGGUAAGAC
rnacentral:rRNA from 1 species